ACUAGAAUUCUUCGCCCCUCCCCUUGUACCAAGAAGCAAGUUCAGAACAUAAGGAUAAUGGGCUCGUCUAUUAUAAGUUAUUAGUUUACGGAGCUAUCUCAGAUAUCUCGAGUAAGGAGACGGGAUAGUUAGAGUUCUAUUUCUAGGAAGGAAGAGACUAUCGGGAAGCUCACUCUCGGCCGGGCUCGAAGCAGAAGGUAGAACGUAAUAUCUCUUGGAGCUAUCUCAGAUAUCUCGAGAAAGGAGACGGGAUAGUUAGAGUUCUAUUUCUAGGAAGGAAGAGACUAUCAGGAAGCUCACUCUCGGCCGGGCUCGAAGCAGAAGGUAGAACGUAAUAUCUCUUGUUGGUUCAGCUCAUCAAGCUAUUACAAAAGAGUCCAGCGGAGACAAAGAAAGAAGCCAUUUUUGUCCGGAUCCAUCCUAAAUCAAAGAGCGGGGCUAAGCGAGGGGCAUAGCGAUACAGUGUUCAUACUCGAGUUGCUCAAAUCCAGUAGGAAUAUCAGG
rnacentral:lncRNA from 1 species